GGCUCAGACAGUAAAGAAUCUGCCUGCAAUGCGGGAGACCUCGGUUCCUUCCCUGGGUUGGGAAGAUCCCCUGGAUGAGGGCAUGGCAACCCAGCUCCAAGAUUCUUGCCUGACAGAGGAGCUUGGUGGGUUACAGUCCAUGGUGUCACAAAGAGUCAGGCACGACUGAACAAUUAAGCACACACACGCAACGCCAACCUAAGGGGAGUGGAUGGGAGCUGGAGCUUGAGUCACGUGGCCAAUGAUUUAAUUACUCAUGCCUCUGUAAUGGUAACCUAAUCAAAACUCUGGACACUGAAGUUUGGGUGAACUUCCACAGUUGGCAGUACUCUGCAUAUUUUGACACAUGGAUGUGCUGGCAGAGUGACAUGUCCUAACUCUGUAGGGAGAGUUCACAUCUGGAACUCUCCUAAGCCUCACCUAUGUGUCUCUCGCUUUGGCUGGUUCUGAUUUGUAUCCUUUAAUUUAAUCAUAAGUAUAGCACUUUCCUGAGCUCUGUGAGUCAUACAAGUGAAUUAUCCAUUCUGGAGGAGUUAAUGGGAACCUAUGAAUUUGUAGCCAGCUGGUCAGAAGUGAAGAUGACUUGGAGAUCCCCAAGCUUACGACUGGUAUCUGAAGGCUUCCCUGAUGCUCAGUGGUAAAGAAUCUGACUGUAAUGCAAGAGAUGUUUUUCUGAAGGGCAUUGAUGAGCCAUGCAAGUGUUUAGUAAGCGUUUUGGAAAUAUUACACUGAUGGAAAUAUGGAAUUUUCACUUUAAGGCAGCAAUCCUGGAGGUUUAACAUUAUGCACAUAGUUGGAAGUCACUGAGGAGUCUAUAAACAUCUAAAAACAUAUUGUAAAUGACAGAGCCAAAAAGCAAGUUCCAUUCAUUCCUGUAGCGAUAAUGACAAACCCAGUGUGACCGUCAACCACAAUUAAGGAAAAAGUCGUUAAGAAAUGAACAGGAGGAGCUCAAGAAGCCAUUGGAAGUAGAUCACUAUCUUUAUGCUUAACAUCUGUAGCAGUCAGCCUUCUAAAAUGCCACAGCAAUCCUCAAAUCCUGGUAUUCACAUCUUUGUGUAAUCUCCUCCCCUUGAGAGUGGGCUGGACCUAAUGACUGCUUUCUAACAAACAGCAUGUGACAAAAGUGAUGAGAUAUCACUUCUAAGAUUAAGUUACGAAAGACUGUGGUUUCUGUCUUGCUGGAAUUCUCUCUUGCCCUCUAGCAUGUUAGCACUGAAGAAGGAAAUCAUCAUGGUGUGAGCCAUCCUCCAAAUAAAGAGAUCCAUUUGGCAGGGAACUAAGGACAGCCUUCAGCCAAUAGCAAGCAAGGAACAAAGCCUGUCCAGCAGCUGCGAGAAACUGAAUCCAGCCAACAACCACAUGAAUGAGCUUACAAGAUCUGUCCCCAGACAAGCCUUGAGAUAAGCUAGCACCUUGGCUGAAGACUGAGAACCCUACAGCCAGAGCACCCAGCUAAACCUCACCAGAUAACUGACCAGAAACUGUGGGGUCAAGCAGCAGAAAGCACUGCAGGAAUUUAGGUGCUGGUCAGCCCACAAAUUUGUCAGGAAAGCUACACCGUGAAGCUUAGCUAACAGGCAGGAGUGGAGGAAGUCUGCGCAGCCAGAGCCCCAGGCAAAGCCUUCCCACAGAGCCAGUGAGCCAGAACCCCUGUGGCAUCACCAUUGAGGCUGUAGGGAGCCUACACUUGCUUUGCCACCACUACUGGCACCAGGCCUGGACACAAGACACUGGACAUCAGACACCAUGCUGGCACCACUGCCCCAGCAGCUCCUGGAAACUGAAUGUUGCUGGUGCAACCAGAAGGAGUUUUGUUCUCGCCCAGGUUCUCAGCAUGACAAGCAAGUGACAUGGGUCAUCACAUCUGAGUGCCCCAGCCUAGGGGCUGGCGGUGAGAGUAUCUGGUGUUUGUACCUUCCAUAGAGAGAUGAGCCCUGUCUGCCACCAGGAUUUUAAAGGAGGAAGGUCAAAACCCAUCAAGCAACGACGUUUAUCACUUAUGCCUCAUUGGGAGUGAGUUUAAUCAAAACCCGGCCCAGAAAAGAAAAAAAAAAAACCUUACCCAGAGAGUGAGUAAUGGAAGCAUAGAGAUUAUGGGCUCUGAAGGUAAGGAACUCUGCUUAUCACCAGCCUGCCCCAGAGCCCCUGGACUCCUAGGAGCUAAAUCAAGUCAAGUCUCAUAUAACUGAAUCAGGUGAGCUGUUCACUUCUCACCCACAAAUCCCCCAACAGCAGAAUCUUGGCCCAGUAAAUGUCAACCUGGACCCUAAUUCUCUUUACUACUAUUCUUACCAAGAGACGUCUUACAUCAGCGAUGAAGGGAUUUUAUCUGUUUGUCAUCUUUAAUAAAAAGUGACGCUG
ensembl:lncRNA